rnacentral:rRNA from 1 species
UACGUAGGGGGCAAGCGUUGUCCGGAUUUAUUGGGCGUAAAGCGCGUGUAGGCGGCCAGAUAGGUCUGCUGUGAAAACUCGAGGCUCAACCUCGAGACGUCGGUUGAAACCGUCUGGCUAGAGUCCGGAAGAGGAGAGUGGAAUUCCCGGUGUAGCGGUGAAAUGCGCAGAUAUCGGGAAGAACACCCGUGGCGAAGGCGGCUCUCUGGGACGGUACUGACGCUGAGACGCGAAAGCGUGGGGAGCGAACAGG